CCCACGUGACCGCCACGCCCCAACCACCUUCCCUUUAAGCCGUCCCUUUAACAGCUGGGACCCUCAUGUGUAUUUCCGGGUUUCCACUGUGCUGCUGCUCACUGUUGGUUGUGGCGUUGGUUGUUAAUAAAACAAUCUCAAAUCUCCAACUCGACUCAUCGCUGAACAAAUUCAUCCCUAAAACUCGAGGAUCUGCGGUGAGUUAAGUACCAUCUGAACUUGACGUUGUAUCAGCAAUACUAGCGCCGCUAAUAUAUCCGCUGCAAUACUCACCAGGUUGGGCUUUGUUGAUGCCUGGUUUACCUUCUGAUGAGAACAAGUAACAUCCACUUCCUCAGACAAUCCGUUACUCGACGGUCAGGUUUUUUUUCUCCCCCUUCAUCGACUUGCUUGAUGACGGAGGAUGGCGAGCUACCCACACACCACCUGGUGGUA